AUUGAACGCUGGCGGCAGGCUUAACACAUGCAAGUCGAGCGAGCGGCGGACGGGUGAGUAAUGUCUGGGAAACUGCCUGAUGGAGGGGGAUAACUACUGGAAACGGUAGCUAAUACCGCAUACCAUCAGAUGUGCCCAGAUGGGCUUAGCUAGUAGGUGGGUAAAUGGCUCACAUAGGCGACGAUCCCUAGCUGGUCUGAGAGGAUGACCAUCCACACGGGAACUGAUACACGGUCCAGACUCAUACGGGAGGCAGCAUUGGGGAAUAGUGCACAAUGGGCGAAAGCCUGAUGCAGCAAUGCCGCGUGUGUGAAGAAGGCCUUCGGGUUGUAAAGCACUUUCAGCGAGGAGGCGUUACUCGCAGAAGAAGCACCGGCUAACUCCGUGACAGCAGCCGCGGUAAUUC
rnacentral:rRNA from 1 species